rnacentral:lncRNA from 1 species
UUUCAAAGAGCUUCCAAAAAUUCUCAAGUGUUCUAGCUUUGCAAAGCUUCAAAAGCUUUCCAACUUCUACUUCUAAUCCUCUUGUUCAUCUUUACAAGUAAGAAGUUUUGUGUGUUUAAUAUUCCACUCCUCUAAUCAUCUCUUGUGUGUGUCCACUUUGCUUGAGAGGUUUGUCUCAAUAUCACCAAAGUAUGAGAGAAAGUUUUUGAGCUAGCUCAACCAUAAAGCUCUAAGUUUGGUUCUAUAAAGCAAUAAAUUUUAGACCAAAACGACCAGAACCAAUAAAGCAAAAAAAUUUAGGGGACCAGUUCGAUGA